rnacentral:rRNA from 1 species
AGAAUCAACGCUGGCGGCGUGCCUAACACAUGCAAGUCGAACGCGAAAGGGGAGCAAUCCCUGAGUAGAGUGGCAAACGGGUGAGUAACACGUGGGUGACCUGCCUUCGAGUGGGGGAUAACGUCCCGAAAGGGACGCUAAUACCGCAUGACAUCCUGUCUUUGGACAGACGAGAUCAAAGCUGGGGAUCGCAAGACCUGGCGCUUGAAGAGGGGCCCACGCCUGAUUAGCUAGUUGGUGAGGUAACGGCUCACCAAGGCUACGAUC